GGAGCCAGAGAGCAGUGACUGGUCAGACCAUAGACAUACAGAAGACAGCUUGCUAGCGGGUCGAGUCUGCUAUAUGUAUCUAUGGUCUGCACGUCUGGUAGCAUCUCUGGCUGCUGUUGACCUUGUUUUUGGAGUAAAACGCGGUGGAAGCUGAAUUAGUGAGGAUGACUCCUGCUCCUGUCAUCUCUAAGCUCCUCACACAUCUUUACCUGCACAUGAGGAAAAUCACUCCUGUAGAAUGCAGCUGCCACGACCGCUUUUCCCUUAGAAGGACCCCCGGCACUCAGAGAGCGGCGCAUGAGCGGAGCGAGUGAGCCAGGCAACAACAAGCCUCGCUCCACACCUGCUUAUUUGGUAAAAAAAUACAGAUGCACAAUGAGGGACGUCUGCAGCGACUGAGAAAGAGUCUCACCACAUCCUGACAUGAGGAAAAAGACUUUAUUGAAGACUACAAUGAGAAAAACUAUCAGACAGCAGACGGCUGCAUUCAAGUCUGUAGCUGCUGAAUUCAUGGAUGAAUCAUCUGGCACUAGAGAGGAAGACCAUCAAACAUCCACGUCAGCUGAUGGAGGUCCAAGAGUCUCACCGAACAAACAAUCUACAGAGUGAAGACCUCCAAUCUGAUUGAACGGCCUCCUAUUCAGCCACAUGUGUGAACAAAUACCUCUAAGUUGAUUUGUUCUCUAAAAUAAAUCUAGUUUGAGUCCUAAUCUAUGCCUCUGUGUUUGCUUCUUUACACUGCUGUUAACAGUUUAGGCUGUUAGAUUGUUCCAGAUAAGACAAGUACAAGAUUCUUCAGAGCCGUUCUACCACGAGCCUGACAGGAAGAACUCCAACAGCUACUGAAUGUUCCUGUGGUUCCCUCAAGGCUACAGGAGGAGUCCUACGAGGACGAGCUGGUCCAGCUGAUGGUGGCCAGUCGCUGCGGUUCAAAGCCAACACCGACUACGUGGACUUCUACUGGACCACAUGGAGGCCUUCAAACCGGACCAACAAGUUCAGCGACUCCCCGACUCGUGGGUCUGAGGACGCCGCCGAGCCUCGGUCCAGCUGGCCUCCUGUCUGUGGGUGUUUGAGUGCUGAGAGACCUGACCAUGAACACCGUUGACAUCCACCUGAGGGAGACGCUGCCUAAGAUCUCAAGGCUGCUUGGUCGUGGUCUUUCUGGUCCUGCUCCAGAAC
ensembl:lncRNA